CGGGGUGUAGCGCAGAUGGCAGCGCGCCUGCUUUGGGAGCAGGAUGUCACAGGUUCGAUCCCUGUCACCCCGA
rnacentral:tRNA from 1 species